rnacentral:rRNA from 1 species
GGUAACCUGCCCUGGCGUGGGGGAUAACGGCCCGAGAGGGACGCUAAUCCCGCAUACGCUCCCUCGGGAGGAAAGACGUAAGUCGCGCCAGGAGGGGCCUGCGGCCCAUCAGGUAGUUGGUGGGGUAACGGCUCACCAAGCCAAUGACGGGUACCUGGUCUGAGAGGACGACCAGGCAGACUGGGACUGAGACACGGCCCAGACUCCUACGGGAGGCAGCAGCAAGGAAUUUUCCGCAAUGGGCGCAAGCCUGACGGAGCAACGCCGCGUGCCGGAAGACGGCCUUCGGGUUGUAAACGGCUUUUACCGGGGAAGAAACUGACGGUACCCGGCGAAUCAGCCCCGGCUAACUCCGUGCCAGCAGCCGCGGUAAGACGGAGGGGGCAAGCGUUGUCCGGACUCACUGGGCGUAAAGCGUGCGUAGGCGGUACGGAGCGUCGCCACUGAAAGCUCCCGGCUCAACCGGGUGAGGUGUGGCGAUACGGCCGAACUAGAGGCAGGGAGAGGUGUGCGGAAUUCCGGGUGUAGUGGUGAAAUGCGUAGAUACCCGGAGGAACGCCGGUGGCGCAAGCGGCGCGCUGGCCCUGACCUGACGCUGAGGCACGAAAGCGUGGGGAGCGAACCGGAUUAGAUACCCGGGUAGUCCACGCAGUAAACGAUGUCGGCUCGGUGUGCAGCGGUGAACUUUACCGCCGCGUGCCCAAGCAUACGCGGUAAGCCGACUGCCUGGGGACUUCGAGCGCAAGCUUAUAUCUCAAAGGAAUUGACGGGGGCCCGCACAAGCAGCGGAGCGUGUGGUUUACUUGGAUGCAACGCGAAGAACCUUACCCAGGUUUGACAUGCAGCUGCAAGCGCACAGAAAUGUGUGUCCUUGGAGGGUGCUGCACAGGUGCUGCAUGGCCGUGGUCAGCUAGUGUCGUGAGAUGUUGGGUUAAGUCCCGCAACGAGCGCAACCCUUGCCGUCAGUUACAAGUGUCCGGCGGGACUGCCCUCUAUUUGAGGGAGGAAGGCGGGGAUGACGUCAAGUCAGCAUGGCCCUUA